UGGGGAAUUUUGGACAAUGGGCGAAAGCCUGAUCCAGCAAUGCCGCGUGUGUGAAGAAGGCCUUCGGGUUGUAAAGCACUUUUGUCCGGAAAGAAAUCCUUGGCUCUAAUACAAUCGGGGGAUGACGGUACCGGAAGAAUAAGCACCGGCUAACUACGUGCCAGCAGCCGCGGUAAUACGUAGGGUGCAAGCGUUAAUCGGAAUUACUGGGCGUAAAGCGUGCGCAGGCGGUUUGCUAAGACCGAUGUGAAAUCCCCGGGCUCAACCUGGGAACUGCAUUGGUGACUGGCAGGCUAGAGUAUGGCAGAGGGGGGUAGAAUUCCACGUGUAGCAGUGAAAUGCGUAGAGAUGUGGAGGAAUACCGAUGGCGAAGGCAGCCCCCUGGGCCAAAUACUGACGCUCAUGCACGAAAGCGUGGGGAGCAAACAGGAUUAGAUACCCUGGUAGUCCACGCCCUAAAACGAUGUCAACUAGUUGUUGGGGAUUCAUUUCCUUAGUAACGUAGCUAACGCGUGAAGUUGACCGCCUGGGGAGUACGGUCGCAAGAUUAAAACUUAAAUGAAUUGACGGGGUCAUAGCUG
rnacentral:rRNA from 1 species